rnacentral:sRNA from 1 species
AGGAGACUGUGGGGGAGCAUAUGGACUUAGAGCUCAGGUCAUGUAGACCUGUAGUCCCCAGUAUUUCACUGCAAGGUAGGUUAGAUGGGUAUGAUUCAUGCUUUCGUGAAGGCAUCUCGUGGGAGUUCUGUCGUAUGUGAUGUCUGGAAUGUGUCUCCCCCGUUAGUAGAUGUCGCCUGUCUUGAUUUUUGUGAGUGUCGGGCGUCCUGGGUUCAGACUCUAUGGAAUGUGCCGUUUCUGGUUUACGUAAAGAGGAAGAGGAAUGUGGUGAGCCUUGAAUGUGAAGAUUUUUUGUGGAGGAUACUCUGGAAUGAGGUAGAACAUUUGACAUAUUUACAAUCUGUGUAUUCCGAUCACUAGGAAUUUUACUGGCCACUGAUAGACCCAUAGUCUGUUGUACUGGAGGCUCUGAUUGGUUGAUAUUGUUAGGAUCAGGUGGUUCCCUGUGCACAAUUUCUAUACUGUCCUUCAUUAUUUCAGCUUCACUUGUAGAUGAUCUAGAGCUUUGAAUAACCUGAGGUGAAUAUUCAGCUUCCAUUAAUCUGUCUGUGUCAGAAAUCCUUGACAUAUCAAUGCCAUGUGACGACACUCUCUCGUUGUUUGUUGGAUUUUGCAUGGGCAGUAGCAAGGGUGGGGGAGGGGUGGGUCUGUUGGUCUUCUGUCGCUUCCUCUCUCCCUCUGGGCUCACGGUCUCUUCCUCUGAAUGUCGCUUCACCGUUUCCUGAACUUUGAGCAGAUCAGAGGACCUGACAUAAACAGAGUCCGAGUUCUCACCAAAUCCAAACCUUUUUUCACAAGGAACACCUGUUUUUUCACUGAGGCACUUGCUGAAGUCUACACAACAUCGCACAACACUCUCCACUUGUAACAGUUUGGCAAUUUUUUCCACGUCUUUAUAAUUGUCUCCAGUUAGCAUCAUAAAGCCCUCGUAUAAAUAUUUCAGGAAAGUUUGAACAGACUCUGGUUUAAUUUCUGCAGAGAGCCGAACUUCUAAAUGAGAGCCUAUGGCUGCAUUUUCCAUGGUCUGUAGCAUUGGACAAGCUGCUACUAGCACUAGUCUGUGGGCCUGGAAAAGGACCAGAAUAAGAAAUGAACAUGAACCUCUACAAUCCUUUACAUUUCAAUACCAUUGUCCAAUAAUUCGAUAAAAAUUUAUCUGCUUUAGUGUGAAAUUACAUUGUAUUUGAUGUUAAUCAUCAAUUUAUCAACGUUUACUAGAAUAAACAAUGUCUUCC